CUCUCACCCAAAGGAAUUAGUAAACUAUAUGUAGGAACAAAUCAAAGUAAUUGUAAGGUGAGCGUUGAGCGCGAUGGAGAAGCAGGGCACGUGCAUUACUAACUCCUCUACGCCUUUUCUGCUAACGUGAGUUAGUAUUUCAUGUGUCCUUCUUCCCCAUCACGACCGCUCAAUCUUAUUCCGACACGCCUCAACUUCUCCAGUGAAACACAAAGCUAAUGGCAGAGAGUAGAGACGUAUACGGUCGUCUCAUCAUCUUUGUGGUAUAUUCAACUUUCUUGAUUUGAAAUGCGGUUUCAUUUUCAUA